rnacentral:misc_RNA from 1 species
GUAACUAUUAAGUUUAUUCAGACGCUGAUUGCAACUACAAAGGGUUUAAGUGUUGUCCAACCGGCGGGCGGACCCGCCGAGGAAACGAAGGUACUCAAAAGACAUGGGUAAGAGAUGGCAGGCAAAGCCCGCAACUCUAGGUAAUGAUCCUUCCGCAGGUUCACCUACGGAAA